rnacentral:tmRNA from 2 species
GCUAUUAGAAAUAUGGCUAUAGCGAUAAAUAGUCGACGUAAUAAGCUUGUUGGACCCGGGGGCAGUACCCGGCGCCUCCACCAUAGAUGGUAGCAUGGGUCAUUUCUUGUAACCGAGAAUUUAUACCGCAACAUUACGGGGGCGAAAUAGGAUAGACAAGAGUGUAAAGGUUGAAAGUUCGCUCGGCAUAGUACCGCCGUUAUCGGGCUAAAAAUGUAGUUGCAAAUGACAACUCUGCUAGAGAAGUUCUCGCUGCCUAGUCAGUGUGAUUUCUCACCUUAACUCCUGAUGGGUUGCACUAUCAGGCGGGGUUUGGAGGCACCUGGCAACAGAAGCCUCUUUA